CAACUUUCAACAACGGAUCUCUUGGUUCUGGCAUCGAUGAAGAACGCAGCGAAAUGCGAUAAGUAGUGUGAAUUGCAGAAUCCAGUGAAUCAUCGAAUCUUUGAACGCACAUUGCGCCCUUUGGUAUUCCAAAGGGCAUGCCUGUUCGAGCGUCAUU
rnacentral:rRNA from 1 species